UUUAAAGAUGAAUUAAGCGCGCAUUUUUCAACCUAGUUGGCUUGCCACUACAAUAUGAAAAAUGCACCACGCUACGGGCUAUUAGCUCAGGUGGUUAGAGCGCACCCCUGAUAAGGGUGAGGUCUCUGGUUCAAGUCCAGAAUAGCCCAUGGCACGGGGGUAUAGCUCAGUUGGUAGAGCGCUGCCUUUGCAAGGCAGACGCCAGCGGUUCGAGUCCGCUUACCUCCAGCCAAGCCUAAGU
rnacentral:tRNA from 1 species